AUACGGGAGGCAGCAGUUGGGAAUCUUGCGCAAUGGGGGAAACCCUGACGCAGCGACGCCGCGUGCGGGAUGACGGCCUUCGGGUUGUAAACCGCUUUUCCCAGGGACGAUAAUGACGGUACCUGGGGAAUAAGCCCCGGCUAACUCCGUGCCAGCAGCCGCGGUAAGACGGAGGGGGCAAGCGUUGUCCGGAAUUACUGGGCGUAAAGCGCACGUAGGCGGUCGUGUACGGCGGUGGUGAAAGCUCCCGGCUCAACUGGGAGAGGCCCAUCGCAACGGCGCGACUCGAGGGUGGUAGAGGCGGAUGGAAUUCCUGGUGUAGCGGUGAAAUGCGUAGAGAUCAGGAGGAACACCCGUGGCGAAGGCGGUCCGCUGGGCCAUGCCUGACGCUGAGGUGCGAAAGCCAGGGGAGCGAACGGGAUUAGAUACCCGCGUAGUCCC
rnacentral:rRNA from 1 species